CCAAUAGCGUAUAUUAAAGUUGUUGCAGUUAAAAAGCUCGUAGUUGAAUUUCGGGGUUAGUAGGUUGGUCAUGCCUCUGGUAUGUACUGGUCUCACUGAUUCCUCCUUCCUUAUGAACCGUAAUGCCAUUAAUUUGGUGUUGCGGGGAAUUUGGACUGUUACUUUGAAAAAAUUAGAGUGUUUAAAGCAAGCUAACGCUUGAAUACAUUAGCAUGGAAUAAUGAAAUAGGACGUUCGAUCUUAUUUUGUUGGUUUCUAGGAUUGACGUAAUGAUUAAUAGGGAUAGUUGGGGGCAUUAGUAUUCAAUUGUCAGAGGUGAAAUUCUUGGAUUUAUUGAAGACUAACUACUGCGAAAGCAUUUGCCAAGGAUGUUUUCAUUAAUCAAGAACGAAAGUUAGGGGAUCGAAGACGAUCAGAUACCGUCGUAGUCUUAACCAUAAACUAUGCCGACUAGGGAUCGGAUGAUGUUAAUUUUUUAAUGACUCAUUCGGCGCCUUACG
rnacentral:rRNA from 2 species